UGUAUUUCUAUAAAGACACAAAUAAAGUAUUUUCUUGUAUUUCACAGGUUAUAACUAUCGGUAUCCAUUCUUGGAUGCUGACUCUGGUAUUCAUGUUGAUAAUAAUAAGAAAUACGUGCAACCAUUGUAUAAACAAAUCAUAAAUAUAGAACACCCCACUAUGGCGUUUAUUAGAAUACCUUAUAAUUCGCUGCUUUUAGUGCUCGAUUUACAGAUGAAUGUUAUAGCAAGUUGAAUGUUUUUUAAUUACUCAAACUAUCAUAUUUUUGACACGCCUGUAUUCUAUGUAAUAAGAAAAAAAACUCGUUUAAGUAAUGAUCUUUUUUUUUAAAUAUAUCACAAUUUCUUUUUUAAA